AUUGAACGCUGGCGGCAGGCCUAACACAUGCAAGUCGAACGGUAACAGGAAACAGCUUGCUGUUUCGCUGACGAGUGGCGGACGGGUGAGUAAUGUCUGGGAAACUGCCUGAUGGAGGGGGAUAACUACUGGAAACGGUAGCUAAUACCGCAUAACGUCGCAAGACCAAAGAGGGGGACCUUCGGGCCUCUUGCCAUCGGAUGUGCCCAGAUGGGAUUAGCUAGUAGGUGGGGUAACGGCUCACCUAGGCGACGAUCCCUAGCUGGUCUGAGAGGAUGACCAGCCACACUGGAACUGAGACUCGGUCCAGACUCCUACGGGAGGCAGCAGUGGGGAAUAUUGCACAAAGGGCGCAAGCCUGAUGCAGCCAUGCCGCGUGUAUGAAGAAGGCCUUCGGGUUGUAAAGUACUUUCAGCGGGGAUGAAGGGAGUAAAGUUAAUACCUUUGCUCAUUGACGUUACCCGCAGAAGAAGCACCGGCUAACUCCGUG
rnacentral:rRNA from 1 species